AUAUAUAUAUAAAGAAUUGGCUUACACUCGCCACAUGCUACAUCAGAGUCACAUCAGUACAUUGCAUAAUCAUCAAGAGUAAGAGCAGGGUCCGACUACGGACGAAAACAAACGAGAAAAAUAAGAACGACGUCCAUCCUUGCUAUCCCAGGCUGCCGGCCUGGAACCCAUCCUAGAUCGAUGAAGAAGAAGAAGAAGAAGCAACUCCAAAUGUACAAUCAAUGCGCUCGCGUCAAGUAACCUUUACCUGUACCUGCAACUGGUGUUGUAGUAAUCUGUGAGCCACAGGGGACUCAGCAAUCUCAUUUCCAAAGGUAUCAAGACUAGCAAAGCUUAAUGGGUGAGGUAUGUUUAAGUGGUGAGGUUGCAGCAGCGACUAAGCAUAUAUUUGGUGGCUAACUUAUGAAUACCAGAAAUAAGAGGGGGGAGAUCUACGCAUAGCGGACGUGAACUACUGAUGAUCAAAUGAAUGAUCCUGAACACCUACCUACGUCAGACAUAACCCCACCGUGUCCUUGAUCGGAGAAGGAACUCAUGAAAGAGACAGUCACGGUUACGCACACAGUUGGCAAGUUUUAAUUAACUUAACUUCAAGUUAUCUAGAACCAGUGUUAAACAAAGUUUCCACGUUGCCACAUAACCGCGGGCACGGCUUCGAAAAGAUUUAACCCUGCAGGGGUGCUCCAACUAGUCCAUCACAAAUUACCACAAGCCGCAUAGAAAUCCUCAAUCACGAAGCUCGCGAUCUCGUCGGAUUCCCUAGUGGAAAACCUCAACUCUGAGAUUACCCAAAGCAUCAUCGGAAUCCCGAUGCACAAGAUAUCUCGUCAAAGGUAAAAUUAAUCCAGCAAGGCCGCCCGACGUGUCGACGAUCCCGAUAGGAGUCGCGUACCUCGUUCUCAGGACACGGCGGAUGAGCUAGACGUCGGGAUCGCUAAACCUCCGGGUGACCAGAGGGGCCCCGGACAUCGCUCAGGUGGGGCCAACACUCGUGAGGAGCACUGGCCCGGGGGUUGAUUAAAUUAUCCUCGGGGUCCGGAAAGUCCCUAUGCAAUUUUAUUAGGUGUUUAGGCAAAUGUAGUACCAAAGUUGGGCCUUGCCAGACCAGCUUUAGUCUAAAACGAAUUAUCAAGGGGGUCCCCAUAACAACCCCGAUCGUGUUAGGAGCGCUCAUUUAUGGAACAUAACACCGGUAGCCGGAAACAAAGGGGGCAAAGGUGGAACAAAACACCAGGCUAGAAAGGCCGAGCCUUCCACCUUUUACCAAGUAUAUAGGUGCAUUAAAUUAAAUAGCAUUUAAAUAUGGUGAUAUAACAAGGAACCCAUGUUAUCACAUGGAAGCAACUACACCUGCAACUAGCAACGCUAUCAACAGGGUUAAGCAAGCAGGAACAUAGCCAAUGAGUGGUUUGCUAGGUUGAACAGGUAGAAGGUUAUCAUGUCAUUGUUGAGAGGCUGAUAUUUAACAUGUGGUAGGCAACGAGACAUAAUCGAUAGCAUCAAAAUAACUAGCAAGGCAAUGAUAGUAAUGAUAUCUAGGGAAUUGGUCAUCUUGCCUGAGAUCCCGCUUGGAAGAAGAAUGCCUCCGUGAAGCAGACG
rnacentral:lncRNA from 1 species